GCCCAGGUGGCGAAAUCGGUAGACGCAGGGGACUCAAAAUCCCCCGCCGCAAGGCGUGUCGGUUCGAGUCCGACCCUGGGCA
rnacentral:tRNA from 2 species